rnacentral:rRNA from 1 species
UACGUAGGGUGCAAGCGUUGUCCGGAAUUAUUGGGCGUAAAGAGCUUGUAGGCGGUUUGUCGCGUCUGCUGUGAAAUUUCGGGGCUCAACCCCGAACUUGCAGUGGGUACGGGCAGACUAGAGUGUGGUAGGGGAGACUGGAAUUCCUGGUGUAGCGGUGAAACGCGCAGAUAUCAGGAGGAACACCGAUGGCGAAGGCAGGUCUCUGGGCCAUAACUGACGCUGAGGAGCGAAAGCGUGGGGAGCGAACAGG